UCACCCAGGUUGGCACUGUUCCGCUGGAGCUUUUGAAUACCAGCAUUAUCCACUAAUAUAUCCCAUAAACUCAGUUUAAAGCAAAAACUUAAUUCACAACAGGUAAACCUGAAUGCGAAAGAUCAGAUGCAACAAUCUAAACAUCGAUGGAAAAGAGAAAUGAAAAAUUGCAAUCAGGAAAGUACGCACACUGAGUUUCAUCAUUACUGUAUUUAGAUUGUUAAGUGUGAAAAUGCUCAGAACUACAAGGAGCACUUUAGGUUGGUUAUGCUCACCAUGCUAAUUCAAUAUUAAGGCAUUAUAUCACAAGUCACAUAGUGCCAACUACCAACAAUGACAAUAGUUUAGUCAUGCACAUGAUAGAAAGGAAAUCCUCAUGAAAAAUUUGAACCAUAAUUGGAAAGCAAAAUUGAUAAAAUAAACCCAGAAGUAACUCUCACAUGACAUGCUCAUUAAUGUAUGAAGAUAGUGAUGCGAUGAAAAUGCCGAGCAUUUUUCACACGGCAUUCUCUUUUGUUGUUAAGUCAUAAUACCAUUAUAUCAAGAGUCAUAUUGCAGCAAUGAUGAAAUAUGU
rnacentral:misc_RNA from 1 species